GACGAACGCUGGCGGCGUGCCUAAUACAUGCAAGUGGAACGCAACUUUUCUCCCGUUUCUUCGGAAACACCUGAGAAGUUGAGUCGCGAACGGGUGAGUAACGCGUAGGUAACCUACCUCUUAGCGGGGGAUAACUAUUGGAAACGAUAGCUAAUACCGCAUAACAGUGUUUAACACAUGUUAAACAUUUGAAAGAAGCAACUACUUCACUAGGAGAUGGACCUGCGUUGUAUUAGCUAGUUGGUAGGGUAACGGCCUACCAAGGCUCCGAUACAUAGCCGACCUGAGAGGGUGAUCGGCCACACUGGGACUGAGACACGGCCCAGACUCCUACGGGAGGCAGCAGUAGGGAAUCUUCGGCAAUGGGGGCAACCCUGACCGAGCAACGCCGCGUGAGUGAAGAAGGUUUUCGGAUCGUAAAGCUCUGUUGUAAGAGAAGAACGGGUAUGAGAGUGGAAAAUUCAUACUGUGACGGUAUCUUACCAGAAAGGGACGGCUAACUACGUGCCAGCAGCCGCGGUAAUACGUAGGUCCCGAGCGUUGUCCGGAUUUAUUGGGCGUAAAGCGAGCGCAGGUGGUUACAUAAGUCUGAAGUAAAAGGCAGUGGCUCAACCAUUGUAUGCUUUGGAAACUGUGUAACUUGAGUGCAGAAGGGGAGAGUGGAAUUCCAUGUGUAGCGGUGAAAUGCGUAGAUAUAUGGAGGAACACCGGUGGCGAAAGCGGCUCUCUGGUCUGUAACUGACACUGAAGGCUCGAAAGCNNNGGGGAGCAAACAGG
rnacentral:rRNA from 1 species